GCAGAGUAGGAAUAUGCGCGUCAAGUGCCAGCCGGACGGGGAGUUGUCGGUAGGACGAAAAGUGAAAGAAUCACUUGCGGUGCACAUUCCGCAUCCCGCUGC
rnacentral:ncRNA from 1 species